rnacentral:rRNA from 1 species
UAAAGAGCUCGUAGGCGGUUUGUCACGUCUGCUGUGAAAAUCCAAGGCUCAACCUUGGACUUGCAGUGGGUACGGGCAGGCUAGAGUGCGGUAGGGGAGAUGGGAAUUCCUGGUGUAGCGGUGGAAUGCGCAGAUAUCAGGAGGAACACCAAUGGCGAAGGCACAUCUCUGGGCCGUAACUGACGCUGAGGAGCGAAAGCGUGGGGAGCGAACAGGAUUAGAUACCCUGGUAGUCCACGCCGUAAACGGUGGGUGCUAGCUGUGGGCCACAUUCCACGUGGUCCGUGACGAAGUUAACACAUUAAGCACCCCGCCUGGGGAGUACGGCCGCAAGGCUAAAACUCAAAGGAAUUGACGGGGGCCCGCACAAGCGGCGGAGCAUGCGGAUUAAUUCGAUGCAACGCGAAGAACCUUACCAAGGCUUGACAUAUAGAGGAAAAGUGCAGAAAUGCACUCCCCGCAAGGUCUCUAUACAGGUGGUGCAUGGUUGUCGUCAGCUCGUGUCGUGAGAUGUUGGGUUAAGUCCCGCAACGAGCGCAACCCUCGUCCUAUGUUGCCAGCACGUAAUGGUGGGAACUCAUGGGAUACUGCCGGGGUCAACUCGGAGGAAGGUGGGGAUGACGUCAAAUCAUCAUGCCCCUUAUGUCUUGGGCUUCACGCAUGCUACAAUGGCCGGUACAGAGGGCUGCAAUACCGCAAGGUGGAGCGAAUCCCAAAAAGCCGGUCUCAGUUCGGAUUGAGGUCUGCAACUCGACCUCAUGAAGUCGGAGUCGCUAGUAAUCGUAGAUCAGCAACGCUACGGUGAAUACGUUCCCGGGCCUUGUACACACCG